UUCACAUCACUAGAGUCUGGGGUUCUCUGUAGCUCUACAGGAUAUCUACAGUCUAGGCAGCAGCAGUGCAAGCUUCCUUACAUUACACUGCCAAUAUGCCUCAGAUCUGACUUAGACUGAGAGGAGAAUGCAGAAUCCAUUCCCAUUGAAUUCUCAAGCCUCU
ensembl:misc_RNA